rnacentral:rRNA from 1 species
ACGCUGGCGGCGUGCCUAAUACAUGCAAGUAGAACGCUGAAGAGAGGAGCUUGCUCUUCUUGGAUGAGUUGCGAACGGGUGAGUAACGCGUAGGUAACCUGCCUUGUAGCGGGGGAUAACUAUUGGAAACGAUAGCUAAUACCGCAUAACAAUGGAUGACACAUGUCAUUUAUUUGAAAGGGGCAAUUGCUCCACUACAAGAUGGACCUGCGUUGUAUUAGCUAGUAGGUGAGGUAACGGCUCACCUAGGCGACGAUACAUAGCCGACCUGAGAGGGUGAUCGGCCACACUGGGACUGAGACACGGCCCAGACUCCUACGGGAGGCAGCAGUAGGGAAUCUUCGGCAAUGGGGGCAACCCUGACCGAGCAACGCCGCGUGAGUGAAGAAGGUUUUCGGAUCGUAAAGCUCUGUUGUAAGUCAAGAACGAGUGUGAGAGUGGAAAGUUCACACUGUGACGGUAGCUUACCAGAAAGGGACGGCUAACUACGUG